rnacentral:rRNA from 1 species
AACGAACGCUGGCGGCAGGCUUAACACAUGCAAGUCGAGCGGGGGAGGUUGCUUCGGUAACCGACCUAGCGGCGGACGGGUGAGUAAUACUUAGGAAUCUGCCUAUUAAUGGGGGACAACAUCUCGAAAGGGAUGCUAAUACCGCAUACGCCCUACGGGGGAAAGCAGGGGAUCACUUGUGACCUUGCGUUAAUAGAUGAGCCUAAGUCGGAUUAGCUCGUUGGUGGGGUAAAGGCCUACCAAGGCGACGAUCUGUAGCGGGUCUGAGAGGGUGAUCCGCCACACUGGGACUGAGACACGGCCCAGACUCCUCCGGGAGGCAGCAGUGGGGAAGAUUGGACAAUGGGGGGAACCCUGAUCCAGCCAUGCCGCGUGUGUGAAGAAGGCCUUAUGGUUGUAAAGCACUUUAAGCGAGGAGGAGGCUCUUUUGGUUAAUACCCAAGAUGAGUGGACGUUACUCGCAGAAUAAGCACCGGCUAACUCUGUGCCAGCCGCCGCCGUAACAC